rnacentral:rRNA from 1 species
GCGGCGGACGGGUGAGUAACACGUGGGCAACCUGCCUGUAAGACCGGGAUAACUUCGGGAAACCGGAGCUAAUACCGGAUAAUUCCUUUCCUCGCAUGAGGAAAGGUUGAAAGGCGGCUUCGGCUGUCACUUACAGAUGGGCCCGCGGCGCAUUAGCUAGUUGGUGAGGUAACGGCUCACCAAGGCGACGAUGCGUAGCCGACCUGAGAGGGUGAUCGGCCACACUGGGACUGAGACACGGCCCAGACUCCUACGGGAGGCAGCAGUAGGGAAUCUUCCGCAAUGGACGAAAGUCUGACGGAGCAACGCCGCGUGAGCGAUGAAGGUCUUCGGAUCGUAAAGCUCUGUUGUUAGGGAAGAACAAGUACCGUUCGAAUAGGGCGGUACCUUGACGGUACCUAACCAGAAAGCCACGGCUAACUACGUGCCACCAGCCGCGGUAAUAC